GGCCCACUAGCUCAAUUUGGCAGAGCAGCUGACUCUUAAUCAGUUGGUUUCAGGUUCGAGUCCUGAGUGGGUCA
rnacentral:tRNA from 1 species